CACCUCCAGAGGUCGGGCGUCGCUUCCCCGUCGAGGAAAACAAGCGCCGUCGCCUCCUCCGCCUCCGCCCCCAUCCUUGGCCUCCGCCUCUGCCUCCAGGAGCUGCUGCCGCUCCUCCUCCGCGUCCGGGCGCCACCACCCUCCGCACCUUCAUCCCCGUCGGUCGCUCCGCCUCCAUCGCUCGGCCUCUCUGUCGCUGCGCCGCUCGAGUCCCCAUGCGGCUCGCGAGCACCUCCGCCUCCCCAUGAGUCCCCGAGUCGAAGGCGCCGCCUACGCCACCCCGUCCUGUCACCGCGGCGUCCGUCUCCCCCAGCUGCCAGUCCUCCACCUCCCUGUCCAAGAUUUGGCGCCGCGCCUCCAUCCUCCGUCACCUCCACCUCCCGUCCGAGAUCAGCAGCACUGCGUAGCUUCUUUUUCUCCUCCACGUCGGUUUCUACUCCUCCGCCAAGAAGGUUUGAAAAAUGUUCGUGUUUGCAUCAAGGAGGUUGAUCUCGCUACUUUACCUGCAGAUGAGUAACUGGGAAGCAGGUGGCAGUAGGAACUGGUGGAGUUUGAAGACCUAAAAUAUGGCAGAUACAUCAAAUUUUUACCUUUCCUAUGGUAAUGGUGGUGUGAAGACAAAAUGUCAAGUACUUCACGAACUGAUCACAAUGUAGAAUGCUCAUAUUUUGCUAGAUUUUGGAUGUAAAGAUGGAUAAUUAUGAUUGUCCGAUUUCAUAAUAAAAUAUCUAUUUGUUGAAGAGACA